rnacentral:lncRNA from 1 species
UUUGUUGUUUUGUCUGUUUCUAUAUUGAACUUGUGUGUAAAAUCUCUUUUUAUCUAUAACUAGUGUAGGCCCGUGCUUCGCGGCGGAAAAUUUAUGUAAUUUAUUUAAAAUUUAAUAUUUCUAACUCCCUUUUGUUUAAAUUCUGAAAUUUGAAAUUAACAAUUUAAAAAUUUAAAUUUUCAAAAAUACAUUUUAUCUUAAUUCAGUUUGUAUAUUUUGAAUAUAUGAUUCUAUAUAGAGUUUUGUUGAUUUCUAAUUUUUCUAAUUCUAAACUUUUAUAUGCAUCGAAC